rnacentral:rRNA from 1 species
UACGUAGGUGGCAAGCGUUGUCCGGAAUUAUUGGGCGUAAAGCGCGCGCAGGCGGUCCUUUAAGUCUGAUGUGAAAGCCCACGGCUCAACCGUGGAGGGUCAUUGGAAACUGGGGGACUUGAGUACAGAAGAGAAGAGUGGAAUUCCACGUGUAGCGGUGAAAUGCGUAGAGAUGUGGAGGAACACCAACAGCGAAGGCAGCUCGCUGGGACGGUAUUGACGCUGAGGCGCGAAAGCGUGGGGAGCAAACAGG